rnacentral:rRNA from 1 species
GUCCACGCCGUAAACGAUGGAUACUAGCUGUUGGAAGCAAUUUCAGUGGCUAAGCGAAAGUGAUAAGUAUCCCACCUGGGGAGUACGUUCGCAAGAAUGAAACUCAAAGGAAUUGACGGGGCCCGCACAAGCGGUGGAGCAUGUGGUUUAAUUCGAUGAUACGCGAGGAACCUUACCAAGGCUUAAAUGCAGACUGACCGAUUUGGAAACAGAUCUUUCGCAAGACAGUUUACAAGGUGCUGCAUGGUUGUCGU